GAUGAACGCUGGCGGCGUGCCUAAUACAUGCAAGUCGAGCGAACGGACGAGAAGCUUGCUUCUCUGAUGUUAGCGGCGGACGGGUGAGUAACACGUGGAUAACCUACCUAUAAGACUGGGAUAACUUCGGGAAACCGUAGCUAAUACCGGAUAAUAUUUUGAACCGCAUGGUUCAAAAGUGAAAGACGGUCUUGCUGUCACUUAUAGAUGGAUCCGCGCUGCAUUAGCUAGUUGGUAAGGUAACGGCUUACCAAGGCAACGAUGCAUAGCCGACCUGAGAGGGUGAUCGGCCACACUGGAACUGAGACACGGUCCAGACUCCUACGGGAGGCAGCAGCAGGGAAUCUUCCGCAAUGGGCGAAAGCCUGACGGAGCAACGCCGCGUGAGUGAUGAAGGUCUUCGGAUCAUAAAACUCUGUUAUUAGGGAAGAACAUAUGUGUAAGUAACUGUGCACAUCUUGACGGUACCUAAUCAGAAAGCCACGGCUAACUACGUG
rnacentral:rRNA from 1 species